AUGGGCUUCAGUCCCAGAGAGCAACUCUCACCCAGACCCAUCCUCCCAGAGAAGGGAUACACGUUACCAAGCGCUCGCUCUAUGGAACGAGGAUAACACCUGGCAGACGUGUCAUUGGCCUGUCUUAACAUCUAACAAAAAUGGAGAGGGUGGGUGCAGCGGAUGGCACGCCAGGAUUCCUGGGUUGGCUAACUCCAGAUGUGAACACACAGUGCCAUGAAGGGGUGGAGGAGCCUAGAGAGUCUCUGGGAAACCCAUUUCACUUUGGGCCCUCAGAAGACAGAGCCAGGUGGAGCUCCAGCCUGGUCUACAGAGUGA